GAGGACCGUAUUCAUGGAAGAGGAUUGAACAGUAAAGAGCCCAGGAUUUGAUAAAAAUGAGAAUAUAUCGCCUCAAGCAGAAGCAGAUGAAUAUAUGGGAGAUGAAGUAGACAGUAUGUUGGAUAAAUCUGGAGUAAAGAACCCAGCAAUUGGUAAAGAUGAGAAUAUAUCGCCUCAAGUAAAAGGAGAUGAAGACAUGGGAGAUGAAAUUGACAGUAUGUUGGCUACAUCUGGAGCUGCAUCAUUGGACUGAAAGUGAAUGGCCCAUGUGUUGCCACUGAUGUGAGCCAUUUGCCUGUUGUGCUUCA
rnacentral:precursor_RNA from 1 species